rnacentral:rRNA from 1 species
ACCAUCCUCCAAGGCUAAAUACUCCUGACUGACCGAUAGUGAACCAGUACCGUGAGGGAAAGGCGAAAAGAACCCCGGCGAGGGGAGUGAAAAAGAACCUGAAACCGUGUACGUACAAGCAGUGGGAGCACCUUCGGGUGUGACUGCGUACCUUUUGUAUAAUGGGUCAGCGACUUAUAUUCUGUAGCAAGGUUAACCGUAUAGGGGAGCCGCAGGGAAACCGAGUCUUAACUGGGCGUUAAGUUGCAGGGUAUAGACCCGAAACCCGGUGAUCUAGCCAUGGGCAGGUUGAAGGUUGGGUAACACUAACUGGAGGACCGAACCGACUAAUGUUGAAAAAUUAGCGGAUGACUUGUGGCUGGGGGUGAAAGGCCAAUCAAACCGGGAGAUAGCUGGUUCUCCCCGAAAGCUAUUUAGGUAGCGCCUCGUGAAUUCAUCUUCGGGGGUAGAGCACUGUUUCGGCUAGGGGGUCAUCCCGACUUACCAACCCGAUGCAAACUACGAAUACCGAAGAAUGUUAUCACGGGAGACACACGGCGGGUGCUAACGUCCGUCGUGAAGAGGGAAACAACCCAGACCGCCAGCUAAGGUCCCAAAGUCAUGGUUAAGUGGGAAACGAUGUGGGAAGGCACAGACAGCCAGGAUGUUGGCUUAGAAGCAGCCAUCAUUUAAAGAAAGCGUAAUAGCUCACUGGUCGAGUCGGCCUGCGCGGAAGAUGUAACGGGGCUAAACCAUGCACCGAAGCUGCGGCAGCGACACUAUGUGUUGUUGGGUAGGGGAGCGUUCUGUAAGCCUGCGAAGGUGACCUGUGAGGGUUGCUGGAGGUAUCAGAAGUGCGAAUGCUGACAUAAGUAACGAUAAAGCGGGUGAAAAGCCCGCUCGCCGGAAGACCAAGGGUUCCUGUCCAACGUUAAUCGGGGCAGGGUGAGUCGACCCCUAAGGCGAGGCCGAAAGGCGUAGUCGAUGGGAAACAGGUUAAUAUUCCUGUACUUGGUGUUACUGCGAAGGGGGGACGGAGAAGGCUAUGUUAGCCGGGCGACGGUUGUC